GGGAAGGUGGCUUAGUGGUAAGAGUGCUUGCCUUGCAUGCAUGAGGCCCUGGGUUCUAUUCCUCAGCACCCCA
rfam:Dipodomys ordii contig_52377, whole genome shotgun sequence.